GUCCUGGUCUCGGCUCUGCUCAUAUUUGAUCUUUGCCUCUUCUUCUUCUAUAAGGUCUCCGUGAAGCGGAUCCGAAUGAAGGCGGAGACAAACGUGAUGAGAGUUGUGGAAGAAACAUCCCAUUUGUAGAGUCCCAGUGGUUCAGUGUGAGUCCAGCUGAUAUUUGGAUCGGAUCAACAGUUUCACAGCUGAACCAAUAAACGCCUUCAUUCUGUUCAGAUGCUUCACCAUCCAUCAACGUCUCAGCUUCUAUUCACAGAGUUUAUACGCAUGUAAAUACGGCUUCAUUCUGAUCAUAUUCUGACUUGUUUUGAAAAUAGUUUUUACUCAGAAUAGUCCAAAGAGUUCUUCACUCUGUGUAUGAUGCUUUUAUUCAAACAGUAGAACAACAUUUAUAAUGAAAUAUGACUUUU